AAGCUGUUUGCAUGAGUGUCUCUCUGUAUAGCUUCCUAGGCGAAACUCCCUGCACGCAAACCCUAGUUUAAAUUUGGAAGCUUUGUCUCUUCAUUGCUUUGUCACUCUUUGUUCUCCGACAUGUUCGGAUCAUCUUCUUCUCACUUUUCUGGAGACGAACGGCUUUGGGUACUCUUAAUGCAUGCAUGGCUUCUUUCAAGCUUUUAUAUUUUUUUAAUUUUUGUGCAACUGCAAGAAAGAAAGUCCAUUCUUCUUGUUCUUCUGCUUCUUCUUCUUCUGAGUUCGUGCAAGUAGCUUGGAUGGGUUCGUUUACGAUUGUCAUUUUGGUUUGUCUGUAAUAGAACCCUGCCAAGUUACUCAAAGCUCAGAUGAACCUUGCAAAACAUACAAGUGAUGAGAAAGACUAUUUCUCCCGAGAGUAAGAGAGUUUUUUUCUAAACUCAUUCUACAAGAAAAAUUAUGUUGGGCAAAAUUAAAAACAUGUGCCCACAUGUUAGUAUGAUAUAUUAUGCGAUUGUAUUAGACUAUACAUCAUUUUUCACUGUCAAUGCCUAUCACUUGAGGGCUAGAAGCCAUCCUGUCCCUAGGUGAGUGAGACUGUAUGUCACGUAAGGGGAGGGAGAUAGGUCAGAAAACUUUUAACCAGCAUUGGUGGCUUCAUCGUGUAACUUGCAUCUUCAUUGACCACAUUGAUCUAACUCAUUUAGUUUUGGAGAUCCGAUCUGUAGAUGACAACAAGAGCAUCGAUACCAGCUAUGAAUUGCUUGUGCAGAGAUCAGCGAGUGAUCAUCUUGGGGUAGGAGCAUCCUCUUGGCUCAAUUGAGAAGCAACAAACUUGUCGAGAACUCGCCAAUCCGUUAACUGAUCUGCCAGUUGGGCACUGCUGUUGUUUGUCUUUUGUAUGUGUUCUUCUUCGGUCAUGGCCGGUGAUGACUGCAUAGUGCUAAUUGCAGGGUUCAUGUGUAGGCCAACCAAUGGUGCAACUGAUGAAUUGAGCAUUUUUGGGAUCUCUAAGAGUGGGAGUUGAAGGAAAUGUUCUUGAGGAACUUGAUAUUGAUAAUCCAGCUCUUUCUUGCAAGCAUAGGGCACAUGGUGGUAAGCAAAA